GCACACUGUGUUUCUGUCAAUCGUUGCGAACGGAUGUUUGGAAUUGUCGUCGUUGUAUGGUUGCCCAGUGAUUUUAUGUAAAACAAAAAGCAAAAAAGACAAAAAUAUAAAAUUUUUAAUACAACAGUUCAACUUGUAUCCUUCAACAAAAACAGAUAAGAGUUGAAGUACUUAACAGUACGAAACUCUAAAAAUAAAUAACAUCAAAGAAACACUAUUUGAAGUCAACAUGCGUAA